AGCCUCAUCGACAAAUUGGUUAAGUCGUCACCCUUUCACGGUGGAGUUACGGGUUCAAGUCCCGUUGAGGUUA
rnacentral:tRNA from 1 species